GGUUUGAUCUUGGCUCAGGAUGAACGCUGGCGGCGUGCUUAACACAUGCAAGUCGAACGAAGCGCCUUAUUUGAUUUCUUCGGAACUGAAGAUUUGGUGACUGAGUGGCGGACGGGUGAGUAACGCGUGGUAACCUGCCCUGUACAGGGGGAUAACAAUCAGAAAUGACUGCUAAUACCGCAUAAGACCACAGCACCGCAUGGUGCAGGGGUAAAAACUCCGGUGGUACAGGAUGGACCCGCGUCUGAUUAGCUGGUUGGUGAGGUAACGGCUCACCAAGGCGACGAUCAGUAGCCGGCUUGAGAGAGUGAACGGCCACAUUGGGACUGAGACACGGCCCAAACUCCUACGGGAGGCAGCAGUGGGGAAGUAUUGCACAAUGGGGGAAACCCGUGAUGCAGCAACGCCGCGUGAGUGAAGAAGUAUUUCGGUAUGUAAAGCUCUAUCAGCAGGGAAGAAAGUGACGGUACCUGACUAAGAAGCCCCGGCUAACUACGUGCCAGCAGCCGCCGUAAG
rnacentral:rRNA from 1 species